rnacentral:rRNA from 1 species
CACGUAGGCGGACCAUCAAGUUGGGGGUGAAAUCCCGGGGCUCAACCCCGGAACUGCCUCCAAAACUGCUGGUCUGGAGUCCGAGAGAGGUGAGUGGAAUUCCGAGUGUAGAGGUGAAAUUCGUAGAUAUUCGGAGGAACACCAGUGGCGAAGGCGGCUCACUGGCUCGGUACUGACGCUGAGGUGCGAAAGCGUGGGGAGCAAACA